CUUUGGUUUUCUUGCCAGAGUAAAUGACUUUCUUCCUAACUGUAAUGUGCAUUCCUCAGGUCUGUUCUUCCCUAUUAGAGCAAUUUAGCCCUAUAUAGCUACUGAUCGUGUUUUAUUUCUAUGCUGGCUAUUGGACUCUAAUUAAAUUCUCAUUGCUACGUUUGUUUACAAAUGACUAAAAUCACAUUCCUGUUCAUUUCAGUGAGUCUUAUCUCAAGGAGCAGCUGCAGAAGCUUUUGAGAUUAGAUUCCAUGACAAUAAAAUGCUGCUGACAGGGAAACCACUGUGCUGGUUUAACGUGGUCUAAUACUGCGCUAUGGGUAAGGUGCAGUUUUCUCACUACCAAGAAGGAAAACUCCACAUUGAUUUGAAGGUAGGAAAGAUUCUGAAGAUGAAGUAAUUGAGAUGAAGGCUCUUAUCCAUGUUCUCAC
rnacentral:lncRNA from 1 species